rnacentral:rRNA from 1 species
GCCGGUACUCGCGAAUGCCUCUAGAUUNAAGUUUGAUCCUGGCUCAGGGNCUGAACGCUGGCGGCGAUGCCUAAUACAUGCAAGUCGAGCGAAUGGAUUAAGAGCUUGCUCUUAUGAAGUUAGCGGCGGACGGGUGAGUAACACGUGGGUAACCUGCCCAUAAGACUGGGAUAACUCCGGGAAACCGGGGCUAAUACCGGAUAACAUUUUGCACUGCAUGGUGCGAAAUUGAAAGGCGGCUUCGGCUGUCACUUAUGGAUGGACCCGCGUCGCAUUAGCUAGUUGGUGAGGUAACGGCUCACCAAGGCAACGAUGCGUAGCCGACCUGAGAGGGUGAUCGGCCACACUGGGACUGAGACACGGCCCAGACUCCUACGGGAGGCAGCAGUAGGGAAUCUUCCGCAAUGGACGAAAGUCUGACGGAGCAACGCCGCGUGAGUGAUGAAGGCUUUCGGGUCGUAAAACUCUGUNUGUUAGGGAAGAACAAGUGCUAGUUGAAUAAGCUGGCACCUUGACGGUACCUAACCAGAAAGCCACGGCUAACUACGUGCCAGCAGCCGCGGU